AAGUCGUAACAAGGUUUCCGUAGGUGAACCUGCGGAGGAUCAUUGUCGAACCCUGCAACAGCAGAACGACUCGUGAACAUGUACUUAAACCUGGCAUUGCGAGGACCGAAGCUCUUGUUUUGAGCCUCGUAAGGCCUUGUUGACCUGCGUUUAGGGCCGUCCCUUGGGGCGUCCCGGAUGUAGGUCGACACAACUAACAAUUCGGCACAACCCGUGCCAAGGAAAACAUUACAUAAAGGGCCCGUGCCAUGACGCCCCGUUUACGGCAAGCGUGUUGCACGUGGCCUCUUUGUAACCCUAAACGACUCUCGGCAACGGAUAUCUCGGCUCACGCAUCGAUGAAGAACGUAGCAAAAUGCGAUACUUGGUGUGAAUUGCAGAAUCCCGUGAACCAUCGAGUUUUUGAACGCAAGUUGCGCCCGAAGCCUUCUGGCCGAGGGCACGUCUGCCUGGGCGUCACGCAUCACGUCGCCCCCACCAUCCAUCCCUUCAAGGGACUUGGUGUGGGGCGGAGAUUGGUCUCCUGUGCCAUGGCACGGUUGGCCUAAAUAGAAGUCCCCUCAUGAGUGACGCACGACUAGUGGUGGUUGAUAAGACUGUCGUAUCGUGUCGUGCGUUCGUUUCAUGCGGGCUUGACUCCUUUUAAACCCACUUGUGUUGUCCUGUGACGAUGCUUCGAUCGCGACCCCAGGUCAGGCGGGACUACCCGCUGAGUUUAA
rnacentral:rRNA from 1 species